GCAACGCCGCUCCCCAUUGGCCCGCCGAGCGGCCCCGCCCGUAGAACGCCGCUCCCUAUUGGCUGAGCCGGCGUGUCGCCAUGGAAACGGCGCGGCCCGCCCCUGCCGGGGAGAGACAGGUAGCCGGAAAGCAUCUGAAUUAAAGCUUUAAGGAUGUUGCUGCUGGACAGGAACUUUCUGCACGUAGCCAAGCCUUAAAGAGCUUUGCAAUAAUAACCUUUGGAAUGAUGAUGAGGGUGGAGAUAGGAUUGUGACGAACC